rnacentral:rRNA from 1 species
AGUGAACGCUGGCGGUAGGCCUAACACAUGCCAGUCGAACGGCAGCACAGUAAGAGCUUGCUCUUACGGGUGGCGAGUGGCGGACGGGUGAGGAAUACAUCGGAAUCUACUUUUUCGUGGGGGAUAACGUAGGGAAACUUACGCUAAUACCGCAUACGACCUACGGGUGAAAGCAGGGGAUCUUCGGACCUUGCGCGAUUGAAUGAGCCGAUGUCGGAUUAGCUAGUUGGCGGGGUAAAGGCCCACCAAGGCGACGAUCCGUAGCUGGUCUGAGAGGAUGAUCAGCCACACUGGAACUGAGACACGGUCCAGACUCCUACGGGAGGCAGCAGUGGGGAAUAUUGGACAAUGGGCGCAAGCCUGAUCCAACCAUACCGCGUGGGUGAAGAAGGCCUUCGGGUUGUAAAGCCCUUUUGUUGGGAAAGAAAAGCAGCAGGUUAAUACCCCGCUGUUCUGACGGUACCCAAAGAAUAAGCACCGGCUAACUUCGU